UAUAAACCAAGGCUCCACAACCAGUCUUUGCCAGUGUUCAGUUCUACAUCUGGAUCACAACUCACCUCAGAUAAUCAGCUGUUCUGCAUCAAUUUGCCAUGCUUCAAGAGCCUGCUGUUCCACCACACUUACCAGCUUCACUCAGAAACAAAUCUAAUUGAAGUGUGCCUUCUGUCUGUUUUCAGGUCCCAGAAUUACAAAACCUGACACUUAUACAAAUUCAAAAUAUGAAGAAGUCAGAUGAGGCAACACACCGCCUCUUAUACCCUCACCUCAGACUGUAAAAGACUGAAACCAGGUUUGAACCAGAGCCGGCAGGGAGCUGAUGAGUUUGAGCUGCUGCUGAGCGCACAGGUGCAUCAUGGGAGAUUGUUCAUGACUGACUGACUGAAACAUCCAUCACUGGCCUUAUCAGAGUCCAGAUCAAUGUGGAGCUCAGAAAGUGUCCUACAGCUGUCUGUUAUUCAGAGACAGAGGAGGCAGAGUGAUGAUGGAGAGGAUACAGAAACAAGAGGUGAUGACCUUAAAACGAUUAUUUCUGCAGAAAAUAGCAGAAAACAUUUCUGAGAGAUGUGAUUUCAUCGAUGGAGGAAACAGAAUAAUAAAAGCUGUCAAUCCUUAAAUCUGUCAAUCAUGCAGAAUGAUAAAUAAUGUGUCAGGAGAAUGGACGAAUCAGAGCUCUGCAUGCUGAGUUACAUGUGCCAUUUUCUAUGACUUAAUAAGUGAUAUAAAAACAAACUUAGAGACCUGAAUCUCUCCUGCUUGAGCUCUUCUUGGAUGUCUCUGUUGAGAUUUCCACACAAAGCUUGUAAUCUGCUGAAAUCAUGCAGAGCAGCAGCUUCAUUCAGCAUCCAGAGUCUGCAGCAGGAUGAUAGCCGCUGUAAUUAUAUCAUUAAUCAGGGCUAAUGCAUCUCUCUCUGUGAGCAGAAUCAGCCUCAGUUUGGAUGAAUGAGCUCGGUCUGUUUAAACAAAGACGUCUCCACCUCACACUAAACAACAGUGUCUGUACGCAUCAUGUGGGGGAGUUUCCUCAAACAGCAGCACUGAGCUUUAAAUUAAAACUGCAUCAGGACUAAU